GCAGGUAUUCGAACCCGGCACCGUCGUCGUCCCCGACGAAGAAACGAAUCGGAUGGUGAAGAGGAACACAAAAGCCGACACCGCCGGAAACAUUUGGGGAUACAGAACCGAAUACGGAACGGGAAAACGAAUCGGAAAAUUCACAGAGGUGGGAUUUUGCCGAAUACGGAACGGGAAAACGAAUGGGAAAAUUCACAGAGGUGGGAUUUUGAGAAAUUGCAGAGCUGCAAAGGAAAGGAAGCGAUCGACGGAGAAAAUGGAAGAUUUUGAUCGGGGAAGAAGAAAGGAUUCGAAGAAAGGGAAGAAGAACAGAGAAGAAUAUAGUUUUGGAUUUUUAUUUUUAUUUCCUCUCUUCUUCAAUCUAUUUUAUUCCUAAUAUUCGGCCUGUGCGCUGGUUAUGAUGUGUUCAUUUAAUUGUUU
rnacentral:lncRNA from 1 species